AGCAUUAAAUACAAUACACCAAUAUUACAAAGAAAAGCAGUUAAAAAAUCAGACAUAUUUGAUGAUUUAAGAUGUGCGCACGAGGUUUAAAUUUAGUUUUUUUUAAAGUUCGUUUUGAAUUUUUUUUUUUAUAGGUCUGUGUUUUCUAUAAAAUCGCAAACCUGAUUUUGAGUCUUACUAAAGUUAGCUACCGGUUUUUUUCACGGUUAGUGUCGUUUAUUUUAACAUUUCCGAUUUUGAAGAAAUUGCAGUCAUAACUGUUUUUUGGAAUGUUAUACACAUGCGUUACUUUCAUGUUAUUUCAAACAACAUUUUAACUUAUUAAGCCUCGUGGUGCACGUAGUAAAUCGAAGAUUGAAUUAAAUAUGGAUAAAAUCAACAAAAAUAUCUUGGAUGCACUAACAGAUAUGGAAUCUAUACAGUCUACCACUGUUACGUCUUCAUCUGUAAUAAAUGAGCUUACAUAUCAAGCAUAUCGCGUAUAUAGAUCCCAGCAUACUGGACCCUCAGGUAAUACCUCGUUUAAACGAUGGGUCCAGUUAGGAGGGAAAGACAAUGAUUGGUUUCAAUGGCCGUAUCAUCCUCCUAACAGGGGUGCUGGGAGCUACAGGAGAGGGGGAGUUCAUGGUCUCUGGGAGCUACAGGAGGGGCAGAGGUCAUGGCAGCAGAGAAGACCAAGAGGGAAGAUGAAUUGGUGGAAGCCUUGUGGUCCAUGUUCCUAAAAAUUUUAUUGCAUUAUUGAGAUUGAAAUACUAGUUUCUUAUAAACGUGACUUGUUUGAUUAAGCCAUUAUGGGUCCAAAAAUUGUGUUUUUGGAUGCAGUGAAAAAAGAUUUAGCUGCGAACUUCACUUUGCAUGGCGAAAUACAUACACAAUGUAAAAAUGGACAUAUAAUCCUCUCAUUCACUAAUCACGGUGAGUCAAUUAGUAAUACUCUUAAACAAGUUAUUUAGUUAAUAAACUAGUAAAUGUCAACUCUAAUGUUAUUAACAUUGCAAAAAAAUGGACAACCCAUUAUGUAAGGGAUUGUUCAAAAUUUUUAAAUUUUUGUAAUCAGCCCCUUGCAUGCCAUGCAACAAGCGUGUCAUUGAGACAGGCAAUGCAUUUUAAACAGAGUAGUUCAUUGGUUACUGUUUCAGAGUCUUCUGUUCAGUCAUCCCAUUUUACCCCUAGUUGAUGACGAAUCUAUUUUGCUUGUAAUUUCCUUAAAAAAUAAAAAAAGAGAGCAUGCUUCUCGGGAAGAGCUAACCUCAAAGAAAGCCAAACUCAUCACUAGGUUAUCAUUUAUCUGCUCAGUGAUUGAGCUCAACCAGAGGCCACAGUAAAAAAUUGCAAAAGUUAAAUCAAAAUACAAUAGCAUACCAUAUAAGUUAAAAGUAUUCAGGCAAAACAUCAAAAGAAAAGAAGAUAUUAUUAAAGCUUUGAGGGUAGAAGUUAGAGAGCUAAAAAAAUAAAUUAAAACAUACUAUUACAGUAGGUUAAUUCUCAAUCUCAAAGCAAAAACAAAGGCAUUGAAAGUAAAAGAAAAAACAAAAUCUAAUGGAAAUACAAGUAAAACAUAAUACUGCUGGUAAGGCAAACAAAAUGAUCAUUACUCAAUUAGAAAAUGACAUUUACCAGAUAAAAGAGGGGAAAAUUCCAAAUGAUAAUAUGUCAGAAGGCGAUAAAAGUUACCCUUUAAAAAUGAGGAUGAUAAUUUAUGGCAUGUUAUUAGCUAAUGUUCCAACAGGUAACAUUGGAUUCCUAAUUUCAAAAAUUGGGCAAUAUUGGGUGUUAACUUUACGGAUAUUCCUCACCGUUGUACUAUUGAGCAAAUGGCUUGUGAGCUUGGCAGUAUAGCAGAACUGCAAGCAGCAGAAUGGGCUACGAGUAAUUUUUUUCUUACUCUUGGAUUUGAUGCAACAACACAAGUAGGUGUUCAUAUUAACACUGUUCAUCUGAACUCUAAAAACAACAGUUAGGUCAUUGUGCUGGAUCACUAGCUGGAUACUAGGUGGGACAGAUGUUGAUUAUGAAAGCCAUAUAUGUGGUGCAGUUGAUCAUUUAGCUUUUAUUUAUUCAGAUUUUCACUCGCUUCUCUUUAUUGAAUGUUGGAGUACAAUCAUAUCAAAUAUAUCCGACACAAUGUCUGCCAGUAGCGGUUAACCAUUUUACCAUUUCCAAAAUUUGUAAAACUUGGGGGAAGAAUUUGAAUGAGUUAAAUUGUCAUUUGCACCCUCUAGAUACAAUUGCCAUUUCAUGUCCUGAAGCCUUAAAAUCUUUAGAAUUUGAGUAUUGCAAAUUGUUUGGAUUUAAUUCUAUGGCAGUCAGAAUUGUUUUAGCAAUGAACAAGAUGAGGUUUAAAGAUGGCAAAGGUGAUCCCAAAGGUUUAGUUAAUUUUUUAGACAAUAACAAACUACCAUGAAGUAUUAUUCCGCAGUAUCGUGGAAACCGUUGAACAUUCUUUCCCAUACUUGUUUCAUUUUUAUGAAACACUUUACUGCUUUUCUACUUUAUCUGACAACUGGAACAGUAAAAUGUUUUAGUUUGCUACCAAUAUUGAAGUAGCAUUUUAUAACACAACGUCUAUAUAACAAAUUGGGAUGCUGGCACUAUUAAGUAAACUUCUCAGUGGACCAUAGAUCGACUAAGUUUUAUGUAUCAGCUGAUGAUGCAAGUUUUGAUUAUGUCACCAGUACUCAGGUAGUAAAAGAUUUUGUAGCUUGCAAAUAUGGUACAGCAAGUUUUGUAGCUUGCAAAAGAAGUACCGCAAGUUUUGUAGCUUGCAAAUAAAGUAGUGCAAGUUUUGUAGCUUGCAGAAGAAGUACCACAAGUUUUAAAGCUUGCAAAUAUGGUACAGCAAGUUUUGUAGCUUGCAACAAAAGUACCGCAAGUAUUGUACUUGCAAAUAUGGUACAGCAAGUUUUGUAGCUUGCAAAAGAAGUACCGCAAGUUUUGUAGCUUGCAAAUAUAAUACAGCAAGUUUUGUAGCUUGCAAAUGUAGUACCGCAAGUUUUGUAGCUUGCAAAUAUGGUACAGCAAAAUUUGUAGCUUGCAAAAGAAAUACCGCAAGUUUUAAAGCUUACAAAUAUGGUACAGCAAGUUUUGUAGCUUGCAAAAGUAGUACCGCAAGUUUUGUAACUUGCUAAAAUGGUACAGCAAGUUUUGUAGCUUGCAAAUAAAGUACCGCCAGUUUUUUUGGUUGCAAAUAUGGUACAGCAAGUUUUGUAGCUUGCAAAGAAAGUACCGCAAAUAUUGUACUUGCAAAAAUGGUACAGCAAGUUUUGUAGCUUGCAAAAGGAUUACCGCAAGUUUUGUAGCUUGCAAAUAUGGUACAGCAAGUUUUGUAGCUUGCAAAAGGAGUACCCCAAGUUUUGUAGCUUGCAAAUAUGGUACAGCAAGUUUUGUAGCUUGCAAAAGAAGUACCGCUAGUUUUAUAGCUUACAAAUAUUGUUUAGCAAGUUUUGUAGCUUGCAAAAGAAGUACCGCAAGUUUUAUAGCUUGCAAAUUUGGUACAGCAAGUUUUGUAGCUUGCAAAAGGAGUACCGCAAGUUUUGUAGCUUGCAAAUAUGGUACAGCUAGUUUUGUAGCUUGCAAAAAGAGUAUCGCUAGUUUUAAAGCUUGCAAAUAUGGUACAACAAGUUUUGUAGCUUGCAAAUAUGGUACAGCAAGUUUUGUAGCUUGCAAAAGAUGUACCGCAAGUUUUGUAGAUUGCAAAUAUGGUACAGCAAGUUUUGUAGCUUGCAAAAGGAGUACCGCAAGUUUUGUAUCUUGCAAAUAUGGAACAGCAAGUUUUGUAGCUUGCUAAAAUGGUACAGCAAGUUUUGUAACUUGCAAAAAGAGUACUGCAAGUUUUGUAGCUUGCAAAAGGAGUACUGCAAGUAUUGUGCUUGCAAAUAUGGUACAGCAAGUUUUGUAGCUUGCAAAAGAAAUACCGCAAGUUUUAAUGCUUGCAAAUAUAGUACAGCAAGUUUUGUAGCUUGCAACAGGAGUACCGCAAGUUUUGUAGCUUGCAAAUAUGGUACAGCAAGUUUUGUAGCUUGCAAAUGGAGUACCGCAAGUUUUGUAGCUUGCAAAUAUGGUACAGCAAGUUUUGUAGCUUGCAAAGAAAGUACCGCAAGUAUUGUACUUGCAAAUAUGGUACAGCAAGUUUUGUAGCUUGCAAAAUGGGUACCGCAAGUUUUGUAGCUUGCAAAUAUGGUACAGCAAGUUUUGUAGCUUGCAAAAGGAGUACCACAAGUUUUGUAGCUUGCAAAUAUGGUACAGC
rnacentral:misc_RNA from 1 species